rnacentral:rRNA from 1 species
ACCCUGUGAAGCUUAAACUAAACUAUUAAACUCCAUAAUACCUACUUUCGGUUGGGGCGACCUUGGAAAAAAAAAGAACUUCCAAAUACAUGACCACACACGUACACGGCCCACAAGCCUUACAAUAGACCCAGUAUAACUGAUAAUUGAACCAAGUUACUCCAGGGAUAACAGCGCCAUCUUCUUCAAGAGUCCAUAUCAAAAAGAGGGUUUACGACCUCGAUGUUGGAUCAGGACAUCCUAAUGGUGCAACCGCUAUUAAGGGUUCGUUUGUUCAACGAUUAAUAGUCCUACGUGAUCUGAGUUCAGACCGG